rnacentral:rRNA from 1 species
AUGCAAGUCGAGGGGUAACGGAAGUAGCUUGCUACUAGACGACGACCGGCGCACGGGUGAGUAACGCGUAUGUAAUCUGCCUUGUACAGAGGGAUAGCCCAGAGAAAUUUGGAUUAAUACCUCAUAGUAUUACCGAAUCGCAUGAUUUGGUAAUUAAAGCUCCGGCGGUACAAGAUGAACAUGCGUGACAUUAGCUAGUUGGUAAGGUAACGGCUUACCAAGGCUACGAUGUCUAGGGGUUCUGAGAGGAUGAUCCCCCACACUGGUACUGAGACACGGACCAGACUCCUACGGGAGGCAGCAGUGAGGAAUAUUGGUCAAUGGACGCAAGUCUGAACCAGCCAUCCCGCGUGAAGGAUGACUGCCCUAUGGGUUGUAAACUUCUUUUAUAUGCAAAUAAACCUACUUUCGUGAAAGUAGCUGAAGGUAGCAUAUGAAUAAACACCGGCUAACUCCGUGCCAGCAGCCGCGGUAAUACGGAGGGUGUAAGCGUUAUCCGGAUUUAUUGGGUUUAAAGGGUACGUAGGCGGUAAUAUAAGUCAGUGGUGAAAUCCUGCAGCUCAACUGUAGAACUGCCAUUGAAACUGUAUUACUUGAGUAUACUUGAG